rnacentral:rRNA from 2 species
AUAUCAAUAAGCGGAGGAAAAGAAACCAACAGGGAUUGCCUCAGUAACGGCGAGUGAAGCGGCAACAGCUCAAAUUUGAAAUCUGGCUCCGCGCGAGUCCGAGUUGUAAUUUGCAGAGGAUGCUUCUGGCUGUGGCCACUGCCCCAAGUCCCUUGGAAUAGGGCGCCAUUGAGGGUGAGAGCCCCGUACGGGUGGUGGUGCACUUGGCCGUUGCGAAGCUCCUUCGAAGAGUCGGGUAGUUUGGGAAUGCUGCCCAAAGUCGGAGGUAAAUUCCUUCCAAGGCUAAAUAUGUGCCAGAGACCGAUAGCGCACAAGUAGAGUGAUCGAAAGAUGAAAAGCACUUUGAAAAGAGAGUUAAAAGCACGUGAAAUUGCUGAGAGGGAAACGCCUUCGGCCAGACGCGAUUCUCGGCAGUAACGGCCACUGAUGAAUUUUUUUGUUGGUGGUCUAUUCUGGCGGGAAACGGGCCAACAUGGGUUCGUGUUGGGGGUGAAAGGCUGGUUUGGAAUGUAGCUCUCGUCUGCGGAAGGGAGUGUUAUAUCCACUGGCGGAAUGCCCUAAUAGC